ACAAUAAACUGUCGGAAAGCUUCAUCCUCCCCGAAAAACGCAUUAUUAAACGCACACUACGCACACGCAGUAAAAAAAAUAAAUGAAAAAGAGCCGUAAAUCAAAUCGCUGAACGGAAUAAAAAAAGAAAUUGGUAUUUUCUGAAUAUUCCGACGGGAAACUCGCCGGAAACCUCCCAAAAACCGACCCAGAUCCUCCCAUCGGCCGGCAAACCCAUUAAACUGCCGCCGCGCCUCUUCUCCUCCGUGUCCUUCCGGUGGACCAUCCAACUGCCGCCGGUGCCGACUUUCCCUUCCCUCGCUGCUGCCAGUCACCACUGGCCGGCAAAAUGCCUCCAACCGGCGACCCACAACUCCCCAAAAUCGAUCCUAGUCCGGCGAAUCCACGUUCACCGGCCACCGCCGUCAUCCUCUCUCCCUUUUUCCGUUCACAUUCCACCGGCGAAGCUGUUAACGCCUUCGUCCUCCUCCCCGCAACCACCGCCGCGCCACUAUUCCCCGUUUCCCCUCUACCAUCGCCACUUCCUCAUCCGAACGGAAGAAGGCCAACCUCGCUGUCGCCGGCGGUGAUGAUGUAAACGGCAGUAAUUGAGAGAAAAAGAAGAGAAAACAAGGGGCCUGGACAGUUAUUUUGUGCGUGUGAGUUGUG
rnacentral:lncRNA from 1 species